rnacentral:rRNA from 2 species
AGGAUACUGCCAGUGACAAACUGGAGGAAGGCGGGGACGACGUCAAGUCAUCAUGGCCCUUACGGCCAGGGCUACACACGUGCUACAAUGGUCGGUACAAAGGGUUGCUACCUAGCGAUAGGAUGCUAAUCUCAAAAAGCCGAUCGUAGUCCGGAUUGGAGUCUGCAACUCGACUCCAUGAAGUCGGAAUCGCNUAGUAAUCGCGGAUCAKAAUGCCGCGGUGAAUACGUUCCCGGGCCUU